rnacentral:rRNA from 1 species
UGGGCGCAAGCCUGAACGAGCAAUGCCGCGUGAACGAGGAAGUCUCGGAUCGUAAAGUUCUGUUGAAGGGGAAAAAGAGCGGAGAGAGGAAAUGGUCUCCGAUUGAUAUUACCCUUCGAGGAAGUCACGGCUAACUACGUGCC